UACGUAGAGUGCAAGCGUUGUCCGGAAUUAUUGGGCGUAAGGGUACGCAGGCGGAUAGUAAAGUCAAGCGUGAAAGGUGUCGGCUUAACCGACAGACUGCGUUUGAAACUGAUUAUCUUGAGUGUAACAGAGGAGAGUGGAAUUCCUAGUGUAGUGGUGAAAUACGUAGAUAUUAGGAAGAACACCAGUGGCGAAGGCGACUCUCUGGGUUAACACUGACGCUGAGGUACGAAAGCUGGGGGAGCAAACGGGAUUAGAUACCCCCGUAGU
rnacentral:rRNA from 1 species